CCGUUAAUGGGUGAGAGCGUGCCUUUUGUAGAAUGAACCGGCGAGUUACGUUAUGAUGCGAGGUUAAGUUGAAGAGACGGAGCCGUAGGGAAACCGAGUCUGAACAGGGCGAAUUAGUAUCAUGACGUAGACCCGAAACCAUGUGACCUACCCAUGAGCAGGUUGAAGGUGCGGUAAGACGCACUGGAGGACCGAACCAGGGCACGUUGAAAAGUGCUUGGAUGACUUGUGGGUAGCGGAGAAAUUCCAAACGAACUUGGAGAUAGCUGGUUCUCUCCGAAAUAGCUUUAGGGCUAGCGUCGACAUUAGAGAUUCUUGGAGGUAGAGCACUGUUUGGGUGAGGGGUCCAUCCCGGAUUACCAAUCUCAGAUAAACUCCGAAUGCCAAUGAAUUAUGGUCGGCAGUCAGACUGCGAGUGCUAAGAUCCGUAGUCGAAAGGGAAACAGCCCAGACCACCAGCUAAGGUCCCAAAAUAAUUGUUAAGUGGAAAAGGAUGUGGGGUUGCACAGACAACUAGGAUGUUAGCUUAGAAGCAGCUAUUCAUUCAAAGAGUGCGUAAUAGCUCACUAGUCGAGUGACCCUGCGCCGAAAAUGUACCGGGGCUAAAACAAUUUACCGAAGCUGUGGAUACCUUUAUAGGUAUGGUAGGAGAGCGUUCUAUGUGUGAUGAAGGUAUACCGUGAGGAGUGCUGGAACGCAUAGAAGUGAGAAUGCCGGUAUGAGUAGCGAAAGACAGGUGAGAAUCCUGUCCACCGUAAGACUAAGGUUUCCAGGGGAAGGCUCGUCCGCCCUGGGUUAGUCGGGACCUAAGGAGAGACCGAAAGGUGUAUCCGAUGGACAACAGGUUGAUAUUCCUGUACUAGAGUAUGUAGUGAUGGAGGGACGCAGUAGGCUAACUAAAGCAGACGAUUGGAAGAGUCUGUCUAAGCAGUGAGGUGUGAAUUGAGUCAAAUGCUUAAUUCUAUAACAUUGAGCUGUGAUGGGGAGCGAAGUUUAGUAGCGAAGUUAGUGACGUCACACUGCCAAGAAAAGCUUCUAGCGUUUAAACAUACUCUACCCGUACCGCAAACCGACACAGGUAGUCGAGGCGAGUAGCCUCAGGUGAGCGAGAGAACUCUCGUUAAGGAACUCGGCAAAAUGACCCCGUAACUUCGGGAGAAGGGGUGCUGACUUUAGGUCAGCCGCAGUGAAUAGGCCCAAGCAACUGUUUAUCAAAAACACAGCUCUCUGCUAAAUCGUAAGAUGAUGUAUAGGGGGUGACGCCUGCCCGGUGCUGGAAGGUUAAGAGGAGUGCUUAGCGUAAGCGAAGGUAUGAAUUGAAGCCCCAGUAAACGGCGGCCGUAACUAUAACGGUCCUAAGGUAGCGAAAUUCCUUGUCGGGUAAGUUCCGACCCGCACGAAAGGCGUAAUGAUUUGGGCACUGUCUCAACGAGAGACUCGGUGAAAUUUUAGUACCUGUGAAGAUGCAGGUUACCCGCGACAGGACGGAAAGACCCCAUGGAGCUUUACUGCAGUUUGAUAUUGAGUGUCUGUACCACAUGUACAGGAUAGGUAGGAGUCUAAGAGAUCGGGACGCCAGUUUCGAAGGAGACGCUGUUGGGAUACUACCCUUGUGUUAUGGCCACUCUAACCCAGAUAGGUGAUCCCUAUCGGAGACAGUGUCUGACGGGCAGUUUGACUGGGGCGGUCGCCUCCUAAAAGGUAACGGAGGCGCCCAAAGGUUCCCUCAGAAUGGUUGGAAAUCAUUCGCAGAGUGUAAAGGUAUAAGGGAGCUUGACUGCGAGAGCUACAACUCGAGCAGGGACGAAAGUCGGGCUUAGUGAUCCGGUGGUUCCGUAUGGAAGGGCCAUCGCUCAACGGAUAAAAGCUACCCUGGGGAUAACAGGCUUAUCUCCCCAAGAGUUCACAUCGACGGGGAGGUUUGGCACCUCGAUGUCGGCUCGUCGCAUCCUGGGGCUGUAGUCGGUCCCAAGGGUUGGGCUGUUCGCCCAUUAAAGCGGCACGCGAGCUGGGUUCAGAACGUCGUGAGACAGUUCGGUCCCUAUCCGUCGCGGGCGUAGGAAAUUUGAGAGGAUCUGCUCCUAGUACGAGAGGACCAGAGUGGACUUACCGCUGGUGUACCAGUUGUCUUGCCAAAGGCAUCGCUGGGUAGCUAUGUAGGGAAGGGAUAAACGCUGAAAGCAUCUAAGUGUGAAACCCACCUCAAGAUGAGAUUUCCCAUGAUUAUAUAUCAGUAAGAGCCCUGAGAGAUGAUCAGGUAGAUAGGUUAGAAGUGGAAGUGUGGCGACACAUGUAGCGGACUAAUACUAAUAGCUCGAGGACUUAUCCAA
rnacentral:rRNA from 1 species